rnacentral:rRNA from 1 species
CACGUAGGGGGCAAGCGUUGUCCGGAUUUAUUGGGCGUAAAGCGCGUGUAGGCGGCUAAGUAAGUCGGGCGUGAAAUCCCACGGCUCAACCGUGGAAGUGCACUCGAAACUGCAUAGCUAGAGUCCUGGAGAGGAAGGUGGAAUGCUUGGUGUAGAGGUGAAAUUCGUAGAUAUCAGGAAGAACACCUAUGGCGAAGGCAGCACUCUGGGACGGUACUGACGCUGAGACGCGAAAGCGUGGGGAGCGAACAGG